rnacentral:rRNA from 1 species
AUUGAACGCUGGCGGCAUGCCUUACACAUGCAAGUCGAACGGCAGCACGGGAGCAAUCCUGGUGGCGAGUGGCGAACGGGUGAGUAAUAUAUCGGAACGUGCCCAGUCGUGGGGGAUAACGCAGCGAAAGCUGUGCUAAUACCGCAUACGAUCUAAGGAUGAAAGCGGGGGAUCGCAAGACCUCGCGCGAUUGGAGCGGCCGAUAUCAGAUUAGCUAGUUGGUGGGGUAAAGGCCCACCAAGGCGACGAUCUGUAGCUGGUCUGAGAGGACGACCAGCCACACUGGAACUGGGACACGGUCCAGACUCCUACGGGAGGCAGCAGUGGGGAAUUUUGGACAAUGGGCACAAGCCUGAUCCAGCAAUGCCGCGUGCAGGAUGAAGGCCUUCGGGUUGUAAACUGCUUUUGUACGGAACGAAACGGCCCUUUCUAAUGCGGGGGGCUAAUGACGGUACCGUAAGAAUAAGCACCGGCUAACUACGUGCCAGCAGCCGCCGUAAAAC